AGUGAACGCUGGCGGUAGGCCUAACACAUGCAAGUCGAACGGCAGCACAGUAAGAGCUUGCUCUUACGGGUGGCGAGUGGCGGACGGGUGAGGAAUAAAUCGGAAUCUACUUUUUCGUGGGGGAGAACGUAGGGAAACUUACGCUAAUACCGCAUACGACCUACGGGUGAAAGCAGGGGAUCUUCGGACCUUGCGCGAAUGAAUGAGCCGAUGUCGGAUUAGCUAGUUGGCGGGGUAAAGGCCCACCAAGGCGACGAUCCGUAGCUGGUCUGAGAGGAUGAUCAGCCACACUGGAACUGAGACACGGUCCAGACUCCUACGGGAGGCAGCAGUGGGGAAUAUUGGACAAUGGGCGCAAGCCUGAUCCAGCCAUACCGCGUGGGUGAAGAAGGCCUUCGGGUUGUAAAGCCCUUUUGUUGGGAAAGAAAAGCAGCAGGUUAAUACCCCGCUGUUCUGACGGUACCCAAAGAAUAAGCACCGGCUAACUUCGUG
rnacentral:rRNA from 1 species